GCCAAGUGAUGAGUCCAAGGCGAAUGUGACCCCCCCCCUUCUUGCCAUGACCUCUGACCUUCCCCUUCGGUCUGUAAUCUUGGUGACUGUUGAGGAGAUUUUCUCAGCCGCUGUAAGGCCAGACCCACAGCAGCGUUAUGCAGGUCUUUUCCCCAUAGCCCCUGUCUGCCCCUCAGAGUGAGAGCGUGCAGCCACUGGGUGUGACCAACACGAUGUGCGGGCAACCAGAGGGGGCAGGUCUGUGGUCACAGCUAUGACAGGGAGGGGGAGAUGAGCUGGCAUCUUUGGUAAUCUGAUGGCA